rnacentral:SRP_RNA from 1 species
GCUGGGCGUGGUGGUGCAUGCCUGUAAUCCCAGCUACUCAGGAGGCUGAGGCAGGAGAAUCGCUUGAGCCCAGGAGGCAGAAGUUGCAGUGAGUCAAGAUCAUGCCACUGCACUUCAGCCUGGGUGACAGAGUGAAACUCUGUCUCAA